rnacentral:lncRNA from 1 species
CGGUAAAUUGUGGAUCGUUUAGUUGUGGCCGUUCUGUGUCGCCUCGUCCUCCGGUUGUAACGCCGUUACCACCGCCUUCUUUGCCAUCUCCGCCUCCACCUGCGCCAAUUUUCUCAACACCUCCUACGCUUACUUCCCCACCACCUCCGUCACCGCCUCCGCCUGUUUAUUCUCCCCCUCCUCCACCGCCACCACCUCCUCCGGUAUAUUCUCCUCCACCACCACCGCCCCCACCGCCUCCUCCGCCAGUAUAUUCUCCUCCACCACCACCACCGCCCCCACCGCCUCCUCCGCCAGUAUAUUCUCCGCCACCACCAUCGCCGCCUCCACCGCCUCCGCCAGUCUACUCUCCCCCACCACCACCACCGCCUCCACCUCCUCCGCCGGUAUACUCUCCUCCGCCUCCGCCAGUAUACUCUUCUCCACCUCCUCCGCCUUCUCCAGCACCAACUCCAGUUUAUUGCACCCGUCCACCACCCCCACCACCUCACUCGCCGCCACCACCACAAUUUUCUCCUCCACCACCUGAACCUUACUACUACAGCUCACCACCACCACCGCAUUCUUCACCGCCGCCGCAUUCACCUCCACCACCACAUUCACCUCCCCCACCGAUUUAUCCAUAUCUGUCUCCACCGCCCCCACCAACACCAGUUUCUUCUCCACCACCCACUCCGGUCUAUUCCCCUCCUCCCCCACCUCCUUGUAUAGAACCACCACCACCUCCACCGUGUAUAGAGUAUUCACCUCCUCCUCCUCCACCAGUCGUUCAUUAUAGCUCUCCGCCUCCACCGCCAGUCUACUACAGCUCUCCGCCACCUCCACCAGUCUAUUACAGCUCUCCACCUCCGCCACCGCCGGUUCAUUACAGCUCUCCGCCACCACCAGAAGUCCAUUACCAUUCUCCGCCUCCAUCUCCAGUACACUACAGCUCUCCACCACCGCCACCAUCAGCUCCAUGUGAAGAAUCUCCUCCACCAGCACCGGUAGUUCACCACAGUCCACCACCGCCCAUGGUUCACCACAGCCCACCACCUCCAGUGAUCCACCAAAGCCCACCAC